AUAAAUAGAAAACAAUGGCGAACAAUGUUGCUGUUAUUGGUAUCUUUUCGGUGUUCUUGGUGGCAGCAGUGGUGGCAGCAGUGGUGGGUGUUACGCAUUUAAAAAACAAUGGUGAUUCAAAAAGCGGUGAAAUAUCGAGUUCGACGAAAGCGGUGCAAACUGUUUGUCAACCCACACAGUUCAAAGAGGCAUGCGAGAAGAGCCUGGAGUCAUCUAAUUCCACCGACCCUAAGGAGCUGAUAAGGACGAGUUUCGAAGCAGCGAUAGAGGAAAUAAGGAAAGUGUUGGCGAAUUCAGCGACGAUACAAGACUUGAAUAAAGAUGACAACAACAAAGCAGCCCUUAAGGUUUGUAAAGAAGUAUUGGAUUUAUCAAUUGCUGACCUGCAACUUUCAUUUGAUAAGCUGGGGGGAUACGAGAUGAGUAAGAUCGGUGACUACUUACUAAACCUGAGGGUGUGGUUAAGCGGUGCCUUAACUACCCUACAAACAUGUGUGACUCAUAUGCGGAGGUAAAAAAAGAACAAGCGGAAAAGAUGAAUUCAAUUUUGAAGACUUCAAUGGAGCUUACCCAAAAUUCUUUAACCAUGGUGACUAAGUUAUCCACCAUCUUGAAUAGCCUUAACAUUCCAGGCCUCAAUAUCGACACGACUGGGUUCGAACGUAAGCUCCUGUCUAACGAUGGACCUGAGUGGAUGGGCCACGCUGAGAGGAGACUAUUUCAAGCAAAACCAACAGAUUUGAAGCCUAACAUUGUGGUUGCUAAGGAUGGUAGUGGGAAAUAUGAUACCAUCACCAAGGCCUUGGCUGAAGUCCCUCCAAAAAGCCCCAAUCGAUUUAUUAUUCACAUUAAGGCUGGUACUUACAAGGAACAAGUCCUUUUACCUAAGGAGAUGACUAAUGUUAUGUUCAUCGGUGAUGGUCCAACUAAGACCAUCAUCACCAAUGACCUUAACUGCAUUAGGGAUCAUCCGCUUAAAACAUUCGGCACUGCAACGGUUGGUAAGUAAUAUUAUAUACAUAUAAGUUUUGGUGGUGAGGUGAGGUGACUAACUAGUAUGUAUGUUUGUGAAAUAUUGAAGGUGUGGAUGGGGCUGGUUUCAUGGCUAGGGACAUUGGAUUCGAGAACACAGCAGGACCCCCUGGUCAUCAAGCAGUAGCUUUUAGGGCGACAUGUGAUAUGGUCAUCAUGUUCAAUUGUUAUUUCAAUGGUUACCAAGACACCCUUUAUGCUCACAAACAGAAACAAUUUUAUAGAGAUUGUCUCAUCAGUGGGACGGUGGACUUCAUAUUCGAGGAUGCGGCGAGCGUGUUCCAAAAUUGUCUGAUCAUCGCGAGGAAGCCAGGUGAAAACCAGAACAACAUGAUUACAGCCCACAGAAGGAAAUUCCCAUACACUCACUCAGCCAUUGUGCUUCAAAAUUGUACCAUCUCGGGAGCCCCUGACUACCUACCAGUGAAGGACAAGAGCAAGACGUACCUUGGUCGUCCUUGGAAAGCUUUGGCGAGGACCAUCAUAAUGCAAAGCAAUAUUGAUGACAUUAUUACACCAGAGGGUUACUCCCCCAUGGUAGGCACCGUAGGAGUAGACACCAGUUACUUUGUAGAGUUCCAAAACAGGGGACCCGGUGCCAAAACUGAAGGCAGGGUCAAAUGGCCAGCUAUCAAGACAAUCGAUAUAAAUGAAGCCAAGAAAUGGACUCCUGGCGUCUUUCUUGAAACUGAAACUGAUAAAUGGAUUUCGCAAACCGGCACUCUUUGUUAUCCUGACAUGGUCCCUGGAGUGUGAACUUCCAAAACCAUCGCCAUUAGUACUCUUUUAUUAUCAUUAUUUGUAAUCAUGUUGUCGAUUAUUGAUUAAGUUAAACAAAAUUUUCCUAUGUUUUAUUUAUAUUAAUAAUAUAUUCAUUUUUAUGGAAGGUGCAAACUAAAAUUGUUUUCUUAUUCCCCAAUUAUAAAAAAAAAAUGAAACUGUUAGAGAUAGAUAUAAAGUCUAAUAUCCUAUUAAACAAAAAAAAACAAUAUUAUUAAUUUUGCUAUGUAUUUCAUUAAUUAAAAUAGUACAUCUUAAUAUAAUUUAUUAAUUAAUAUAAUAAAUUAAAAAAAAUAUUUUUUAGUAUAUAUAAUUUUACUAAUUUGUAAUUAUCAUUUAACAUAAAUAUUAUUUUAAUUUAUAAUAUACUAUUUAAUAUUGAUAUAAUUUCAAUACUUUUAUUAUUUUAAUUUGUAAAUUUAAUUUAUAAUAUACUAUUUAACGUAACCUUUAAUAUAAAUAUUAUAUUUCAAAAUUAUAUACUUUCUAUAAUUCUUAUUUUUAUUAUAAAUGUACAGCUAUUUCCUUGUGGUACUUGUAGUCUAUAAUUUAUAUGUUUAUAAUGUUUUUGUUUAUUUUAGGUUUAAAUGAUCUUCUAAACUACCCAUAACCCCUUUCAACCCUUAAAUAAUAGAAGAAAUGGGUUUAGCACACUCAAACUCACGACCUCCUGUACUGACAAUAAUGUCAAUAUUAAUUGAGUUAAGAUUCAAUCAAUGUCACUAAUUUCUAGGUUGCUGAAAAGAAAAAAAAAAAAGGAAAUAAGAGGAGUGGAGUUUGUCACUAAUCAUCAAAUCCAAAACUUAUUUCUUGAUUGUUCAUUACAAUUAAUCUUCUAUAUUUUGGGACGUGAUAAUAAAGGUAAUCUCUAUUUAUAUAGUUAGAAUUUUAUUAAAGUUAUUCCUUUAUUUUAUUACAUUAAUAAAUUUGAGAGUACAAAAUUGUACUUAUAAAAAAUAAAAAUAAUAAAAAAAAUAUUUUAAUCUUAAUUAUUAGUUAUUUUAACUUAAUGGUAAUGAGUAUGUUUAAACUUUUAUUCAAGUUAUAAUUCUAUUAUAGAGUUAAUAAAUAGAGUUAUAGUAACCUUCCUAACUCGGCAUAAACAUUAGAUCUGAAUUCGAAAGAUUAUAUUAGUCACCGAAAUGACCCUAUAAGUUAUCAGAAUAUUUGAAAAUAGUCAUUUUAAAACAUUUGAUUAUUUUACAAGAAAACUUAGAUAAUUACCGAUUUAUUUACUAUUCAAAAUUCUUAUUUAUAAUUUAGUAGCAUAAAAGUAAUAAUAGUUUGUAUUUUUAAUAAAAACCAAUGUUCAUGCAUAAUUAAUUAAUAUUCAUAUUUCAAAAUCCUAAAAUCAAAUUAAAUGUCAUGCAGGCUAUAAAAUAAAACCAAAUCUUAAGUUCCAUGUAACAAUUCAAAAUAAAAUAUUAUAUUCCUCAAAUAAUAAAACAAAUAACGAGUUGAGACUCUCCGGAUGCUGUGUUCGCGUCCUAACCUGGUGGGUUAUCUGUAAGGAUGAAAAUUUAAGGGGGAGUGAGCUAUAACACUCAGUGGGAGUUCUAUCACAAGAAAAUCAGUGCAAAUUAAUAAACUAAGUAUACAUAAUAACAAUUUUUAGUACGGUAAUAAUCAUAUGAUAUAAUAGUAUUUUUGGCAGUUCAAUUCUCAUACUUAUGCGUGUCGAUGCAAUGCUAUACAAGUUAAGUUUAUCAAUAAAGAUAGGUCCUACCCCACCGCUACACUCUACAGUAAGAGUUCCCUAGAAAUCUUAUAUCUCGGACACUCUAGUUUGUGGAUGAACCACAAGAGUUGCAGGUUAAUAUGCUACCAAUAGUUGUGAAUACACAAUGGGUUUGCAGAUAGAAGUUGCUAGUAAAAGAUGUGGAUAAACCACUAGUAUUUGUAGGUUAAUACGCUGCCAAUGGUUGUGAAUACACGGGUUUGCAGAUAAAAACUAUCAUUAAUUUGUGGAUAAACCACCAGUAUUUUGCAGUUAAAAUUGCCAGUACUUCCUCCUUAAAAAACAUCCUGCCCCAUGCAAUGCAGUAUGACAUGUAAGCAUCAAUACAGUACAGAAACAGUAGACAUGUUUAGCAUGUAUCUAGAUCAACAAUAGUAGUAGACAUGAUUGUCCUGGAUUUGGUAUAUCAAUAUAGUAAGCAUGGCUAUUCACGCAAUUAAUAAUUCAGUGAUACUAGUAAAAAUAACAAUUAAUCAGUAAUUUAGUCAUAGAAGACAUGUAUUCGUCACAUAUCAUGCACAUAUAGUAAUAAUCUAAUAAAUCAAAUAAUUGAUUCCAUAUUAUUCAUAAUAUCAGAGACUUAGUUAAAAGAGAUAAAGUACUAAAAACAAUUCAAUGAUCAUGCAAGGACUAAAUUGAAAAUUUUACAAAAAUUUUAGGCAAAAUUGUAAAAUAGGGGCACAUGGCCUUGUGGAGGGGUUACACGGUCAUAUGACUUGUAACAGCCCGUUUUUCAGUGGUGUCAGAAACAGUAGUUUCGGGGCCACCAAAUCUGACGAGUAAGUUCGUAAAUAUUAUUAUUUAAUAUUUAUGAGUCAAAUGUGAUUUUUAAAAAAAAUUUUUUACUUGAUAAUUUAUAUUAUAUAAGUGAUUUAUUAAGUUCAAGUGGUUUUAAAAGAUGAGGUAUCGAGACCUUAUUUUUAUAAACUGAGCCGUAAAUAUUUUUAUAAAUAUUUACGGAGUGUUAUUAAGGUGGUAUUAAAGUUUCGUUAAGAAAUUUUAACGUUUCGAUAAUUAAUUAAAAAUGACCAAAUUUAAAAAAAAAGUGCAUUCCCGGUGCUCUGUUCCCAUCAAUCAGACUCGUAAAUAUUUUUAAUAAAUAUUUACGAAGCUAGUUGUGUAGUUAAUUAGGUUUUGGUUAAGUGAAUUUACUUGAAUUAAAAGUAAUUAAGUAUAAGUACUAAAUUACAUAUAGGGUAAAAGUUGAAUUAUAGAUUAAAGAAAAAUUAAAGGGACUAAAGAAGUAAUUAUGCCAUUGUUCUUUAAUGAGGCGGCAUAAGAUAAUAUGUUUUAUAAAUUUAAUAUAUGUUAUAAUAAAAUAUGUUUACUUAAUUAAUAAGUAUAUAUUAUAUUAUAAUAAAACAAAUAAAAAAAGAAAGAAAGAAAAGAAAGCCAAAGCCAAACGAAAAUAGAAAGGAAAGAAAAAAAAAAAAGAAAGAGUGAAAGAAAGACGCAAGGCUAGGGACUUUUUGGGUUUAAAGUUCAAUUGGUUAGUUAAUUUAGUUCAUUUUUCUUGUAAUUUUUAUGGUUUUGGAAUCCCGGUAUUAAAUACUACUCGAUCCAUACCAAAAUUUUAGAAAUUAUUGAUGUAAUAGCCCAUUUUUGCCCGGCCCAUUCAAAAUUAAACCAACCCAAAAUCAUAACAUUGCCCAAAUACCCUUGGCCUAAUACACUAGGCCCUAAACCUAAGCCCCUUACACCAAGAAAACAAACAGCAGAAACACUAACAGUCAGCAGCAGAUCGACGCCACCAUUGUCCCACGUCGCAGUAACCUCCAGUGCGUGCACGCCCCACGUUCGGCAGCCUCCCAAACUGUCCCACAUCUUCGCUGGCACGUCCACUCGCACAACGCUCACACAUCUGCAAGCCACAUACAACACUAAUAGGAUAUACACACAGCAAAACAGUUGUAAAAAGAUUUAGGGAGGGCUAUAUAAAGGCCAAUGAUUUUCUGUAACUGGGAGAAAAAUUUUGUAUUAAAAAGAGAAAAAUUUUGUAUUGGAAAAAUACUGAAAUACAAACAAAGAAUCAAAAACAAUUUUUGAAGGUAAUUUUCUUUGUGUUUUAUUUUUUUUUCUUUGCUUCCCUGUUUUUGGUGCAAAAGAAAAAGCAAAAAGAAAAGGGCGAAACUUACCUGAAUCGGAGUCGGCGGCGAAGCUUGAACGACGGUGGCGUGGCGGUAGUUAGGGCUUUAAAGAAGGCCUAACAGAUUCCUCUUUCUUCCCUCUGUUGUUUUAAAACAAAAAAGAAAAAAAGGAAGAUGAAGCAAUUUUGCGCCUAUUGCUGCUGCAGAGUAGGCUUUUAAUUGGAGAUGAAAAGGGUUUUAAACACUGAUGGGUUAUUUGCGUUUUAAUCCUUCAUUUUAUCCCAUCAGUUCAAAAUCAUUAUGGUUUGUUUUCAAAUUUUGCCAUGAAAUGUUGAAUUUGUUUUAUUUUAAUACAUUGCUGCGUGGAGUUUUGGACGGAGGGAUUAAUUUCACUUUCGGUCCUCCACUGUUAACUGCAUGUUCCAUUUGAUCCAUUGGUGUUUUGUUUAUUUCAGAUUUGCCCCUGAAACUUCAAUUAUUUUCAAUUUAAUCCAUAAUCUUUCAUUUUAAGUUUUUAGUUUAUUUUAUUAAUAUAGUUAUUAUUAUUAUUAUUAUUAUUAUACUUACAUAUAUACACGCAUGUGUACUUUAUAAUAUAUGUGUAUAUUUUUUAUUUCUAAAUGUUUUAAAUAUAUAUAUAGUGCGUAUAUAUUUUAUUACCAUAUUUUUUAUAUAUAUAGUUUAUAUAUAUAUAUUAUAUAAUUCAUAUUUUUUUAUAAUUAUUUAUGUUUUCAUGUUUAUAAUUCAUAUGUUUAUACAUUUUUUAUAAUAUGUACAAAUCAUAUAUUUCAUUAUUACUUUAUUUUUCUUAGUUUUAUAGGCAUACGUAUAUAUACCUACAUUUUAUGAUUUUCACAUCGUUUUUCAUUUUUUUUAAAAAGAAAUUCAAAUAUUUUUUUUACAUAUAUGUAUAUAUAUACACUAUUCAAAAUCAUUAAAUGUAUUUUCCGCAUGUUUCUUGCAUGUAUAUAUAAUCAUAAUUUAUUAAUAUAUUAUGCUUACAUUUUUAUUUUUAUGUAAACUUUAUAUAAUUUUUUUUGAUUAUAUUAUUUUUAUAUACAUAUAUAUACAUAUAUAUACAUGCAUCAACAUCUUGUCAUACUUUUAAAGAAAAAUAUAUUUUGAUUUUGGUCAAAAUACUUAAAUCAACAUUUAAAAAAAAAUUAAAUAUUUGGCAAUCAUGAUUCUCGAGAAAGAUCGUGUCCUAACUUACUGGAUCGUGAUCAUUUUUCGAUGAAUUUAGAAAGCUAAGUAUUUACUUUACAAUAAAUUCACAAUUUUCAAAUAAAACCUUAUUCUCGGGAAUUCAAAAUGUCGGGUCCUAACUUACUGGUCGUGACAUUUCGUUAUCUCGAAAUAAGAGCUUCUAAAACAAAAAGCAAUAUUCGGUAUUUUGAAGAUAUAAAAUAUUGUGCCCUAACUUACUAGGUGUGAUGUUUUAUUUCUUUGAAAUGAGAAUGUUUUAUCAUUUUAGAUCCAUUCACAGGUUAAAAAUUUCUAUUUAAAAUCUUUUCAAAUUUUCGACAUCAAGACAUAAAAUAAUCAAAUUUGGUACCGAUUUUUGGGCGUCACGAGGGUGCUGACCCUUCCUCGUGCGUAACUGACUCCCGAACCUGUUUUCUUAAAUUUUGCAGACCAGAAUUAUUUUUUUUUGUGAGCCGAUCACACCUUAAUAAAGGAUCGGUGGCGACUCCAAUUUUUGUUUUUAAAGUCGACAACUAAAUUUUUGUGUUUUCAAAAAAUGGUUUCGACAAUUGAGUUUUUAGAUGUUGUUAAUGUUGAAUAAUUUUAGUAUCAGGGAUUAAAUUGAUAGUUUUUUAAGCUAGAAAUGAAAAAAGAUUGAAUUGUAGAAUAAAUUGUAAAUUUUGAGUAAUAAGGACUAAAUUGUGAAAAUUUUAAAUUUAGGGAUUUAAGUGAAAAUAGGGAGUUAAAUUUAGUCUAAAGUGGAUUUUGUAUGAAAAUAAAGAAUUAAAUGUAAAGAAAUAAAGACAGUCUCGGUUUAGGGACUAAAUUGGAAUUUAGGCAAAUAUUGAGUAAAAAUUGAAAUAUUAAAUAUGAGAUUAAAUUGUGUUGUAUUGAUGAAUUUUAAUUGUUUUAAUUUUGUACCUAACAAUUUAGAUAAGCAUAAUCAAUUGGCCCAAAGCUUAACACAUAUUCACAAUCAUGUUAGCCAUAUAUGAAUACAUCAACUAUGAAUUACUUUCUGUAUUUCAGACAAAUACCUAUACUAGUUCGUAUCAACUCUUACAACCUCGUAUCAUCAUCUGUGCCCGUUGAACCAUUUGGAAUACUAUCAGAUACUCGAGUAUCUCGCACACUAAGUGCUAAUACGUGGUCAAAACCACCUCUGUCUCAUAUCUCAUAUAGAUGCUCACUUUCGAGCUACACUGGGUCUGCUCACACAAGCUAUUAGUCAAGACGUAGCUACACAGUGCUGCUCACACAAACUGUAAAGUAACCGCAACACAUGCCAGAAACUCAGCCACCGGUAGGACGUACGAGACCAGCACCAAAAAUACGGUAACCCUUAAUGACAUGUCAUUUGUAUCCAUCUAUUCCUAAGGUUCAACCGGGAUCCAUACAUUGUCGACCUCGUCGAGAAUUUCUGUGGUGUCGUGUCAUCACAAUUAUAUUAAUUAAGCAUUUAAACACAUAUAAUUUAAUGCUUAUUAAACAUACAAACUUACCUCAAAAUUCGACCGAUCAAUCCACUACUUUAUCUUUGCCUCGAUCUAAUUCCGAACGUGGCUUUUCUUGAUCUAUAUAUCAAAUUUAACUAAUUUAAUAUUUAUUCUAUUCAAUUCAAUCAAAAUUUCAUGCUAUGAAAAAAGUACCAUUUUUCCCCUAAACAUUUGACCUUUUUACAAUUUAGUCCUUAGGCUCGUAAAAUAAAAUUCAUGCCAAUUUCUCUACACCCAAGCCUAGCCAAAUUUUAUAGGUGCUCAUAAAAGCCCAUAUAUUCCACAAUUUCACACAUUUAGCACAUAUUUUCACAUAUCUCAAUUUAAUCUCUAUUUGACAAUUUCAACAAAACCCACUUAAUAAAAGUUGUUUAGUUAACAAAAAAGACUCAUAUUCUUCCAUUAAAAUUCAAAAGAAACUAAAUUUCUCUCAUAGAAAAGCCCUAGGCUUUCAACCAUAUUGCAAUUUAGUCCCCUAAUUAGCUAGAUUAAGCUACAGCGGUCCCGAAAACAUAAAAAUCAACAAAAACGAGAUGAGAUAGCACUUACAUGCAAGGGAAGAGCUUGAAGAAAAAUUUCUCUUCUUCUUCUCUCUAGAAAAAUUCGGCUAUGGUGAAGAAAAAUGGGGAAGAUGAUAACUUUUCUUUUAUUAAUUUAACCUUUAAUUACUUAAUUACCAUUUUACCCUUACCUAACUUUAAAAAUUACUCAAUUUCCAAGCCAUGCACAUCCAAUAUCACCUUUAAUGGUCUAAUUACCACAAAAGGACCUCCACUUUAAAGUUCUAUAGCUAUUUAACACUUUUAUCUAAUAGAACACAACUUUCACACUUUACGCGAUUUAGUUUUUUUUCACAAAUUGAGCCUACAGACUAUAAAAUUAAUUAACGAAAUUUUUAUACUAUCAUAUUAUUAAGCUGUAGACCUCAAAAUAAUAUUAAAAUAAAUUUUAUGACCUCUGAUUUGUGGUCCCAAAACCAUUGAACCGAUUUCACUAAAAACGGGCCAUUACAAAAAAAUACCAAAUUAAAAAAGUGCAUUCCCAGGACUCCUUUCUCAUUAAUCGGACUCAUAAAUAUUUUUAAUAAAUAUUUACGAAGCUAGUUGUGUAGUUAAUUAGGUUUCGGUUAAGUGAAUUUGCUUAAAUUAAAAGUAAUUAGGUAUAAGGACUAAAUAACAUAUAAGGUGAAAGUUGAAUUAUAGAUUUAAUAAAACUUAAAGGGACUAAAGAAGCAAUUAUGUCAUUAUUCUUUAAUGAGGCGACAUAAGGUAAGAUAUUUAUAAAUUUAAUAUAUAUUAUAAUAAAAUAUGUUUACUUAAUUAAUAAGUAUAUAUAUUAUAUUAUAAUAAUAAUAAAAGAAAAGAAAAAGAAAUAAAAGAAAGCCAAAGUCAAACGAAAACAGAAAAGAAAGAAAGAAAAAAGAAAAAGUGAAAGAAAGACACAAGGCUAGGGACUUCUUGGUUCAAAGUUUAAUUGGUUAGUCAAUUUAGUUCCUUUUUCUUGUAAUUUUUAUGUUUUUGGAAUCCCGGUAUUAAAUACUAUCCGACCCAUGUCAAAAUUUUAGAAUCUAUUGAGUUUUUAGAUGUUGUUAAUGUUGAAUAAUUUUAGUAUUAGGGAUUAAAUUGAUAGAUUUUUAAGCUAGAAAUGAAAAAAAGAUUGAAUUGUAGAAUAAAUUGUAAAUUUUGAGUAAUAGGGAUUAAAUUGUGAAAAAUCAAAAUUUAGGGAUUUAAGUGAAAAUAGGGAGUUAAAUUUAGUCUAAAGUGGAAUUUUUAUGAAAAUAAGGAAUUAAAUGUAAAGAAAUAAAGAUAAUCUCGGUUUAGGGACUAAAUUGGAAUUUAGGCAAAUAUUGAGUAAAAAUUGAAAUAUUAAAUAUGAGAUUGAAUUAUGUUGUAUUGAUGAAUUUUAAUUAUUUUAAUUUCGUAGCUAACAUCGUAUCAGAAUCCUUGACUAAAAAGGGGAAAGAUAAAAUCGACGUCGAAUAGGUUGGAAUUCUUGGUUUGUAUUUCUAUAAUCCGAAUCUAGUUAUGAAUUGUUGUAUUUUGAUUUAAUGCUUAUGGUAAGUAGUUAAGGUGAGUAUUUGGCACUUUGACAUUGAAUUGAAUUAAAAGUUGAUUGAAUGGAUUGAAUUGAUUAUUUGAAUUGAAAUGAAUAUAUAUGUGUGCAAAUAUGAUAAUUGAAUAUUGGUUGUAUUUAGAAAGUGAAAUUAAACCCUAUUAACUGUAUCGGGUUGAGUCAAAUAUAGAUGGCAUGCCAUAAGAUUGAAAGAGUUCAGGGAUUUCUUCGACUUUGAGUCGAUGAGACACUGGGUGUCAAUUUACUACUUUGGAUUAAUUCGAUGAGACACUGGGUGCCAAUUUAAUUCGAUUUAGCCGAUGAGACACUGGGUGUCAAAUUAUUACCUCGAAUUAUCUGAUGAGACACUGGGUGUCAAUUUACUACUUCGGAUUAAUUUGAUGAGGCACUGUGUGCCAAUUUACUUCAGUUUAGCUGAUGGGACACUGUGUGUCAAAUUAUUACUUCGAAUUAUCCGAUGAGGCACUAGGUGCCAAACUGGUGUGUUGAUUGGAUUCCGUGUAUCCGUCUGAGUCUUGUUAAUAGGGGUAAAUGAAUAAAUAAGUUCUAUAAUUGAUAUUGAAAUUGUAUGGUAUGAGAAAUGGAAAUGAAAUAGUGAAUUGAGUAUGGAAUGAAUAAAGCAAUUGUAUAAAUGAAAUGUGAGUUAAAUUGUGAAAAGCUAUUUAUAUAGCAAGUAUGAUAAUUGAGAUAUUUGUGAAACAAAUGAAAAAUGAUAUGGUUGUUGUAAUAUUUAAAUAUUAAUAUAUGUUUACAUUUCAAUUGUAUAUUUGUAAUUUUUUAUCUUUACAUAUUCGGAUUAUAGAAAUACCACUGAGUUUUACUCAACGUAUGGUUUUGUUUCCCAUGUGCAGGUUAGGUACUUAACUUUUGAUCGCCGAUUCAGCAUCCAACAACGAUCCCAAACUCAAAUGUGGUGAUGUUUAUCCUUUGUUUCGACAUGUACCUAGGGUGUCUAAAUAAUAGUUAUUUUGUGGUUUGAUUGUAAAUGAGGUUAUAAGUUUAAUUUUGGUUGGUUUUAUAUGUAUAAAUAUGUGUUUGUUUUUGAAGUUAUAUUAUGACAUGGUAAAUUGAACUAAAUCUAGAUAGGUGCAUGUGAAUUUAAUUCUAUGUUUAAGUGCUCAUGAACUAGGCAAAUUGAUUUGGAUUUGAUAUGUUUAAAAUUUGGAUUAAAAUGAUGCUUUGAUGACUUGUUUUGAUGAUAUGAAAUGUUUGAAAUUUAUGUCUGUUUGAUCUGUGAACUCCGGUAAUGCUCCGUAACCCGGUUCCGCCGAGGGAUACGGGUUGGGGGUGUUACAUGGCUAGGCCAUGUGAUAGAUUGUGGCUAUGUGGAAUUUGCAAAAUCAAGGUACAAAAGAGACAUAGUUGUGUGGCAGGCCGUGUGAGAAUCGAAUAUCUUAGGGUUUUAAGGGGACAUGGUCGUGUGAGGGGUCAUAUGGCCCACACGUGUAGCCCACAUGCCAGUGUGGCUGGCCAUGUGACCCUAUUUCGAGGCAUGAUUUACCCCGUUUCGCUUGUAAAAUAACUCACACAUUCCAUCAGAAUCUCAAAUGACGUCCCUCACAAUCAAAUCUGGUCUGCUGCACCUGUAACAGGUCCUUCAAACAACAUUUAUACACGGGUUAAUGAUUGUUUUCAAGAUCUAUCAAGAUUACCGGGAAUUUCGGCAAGAUUAGUAAAAUAUUCAUCAAUUCAAAUGAAAGAUUAGCAUCAGAUGCAAAUACUACGAGAUUUUGGGAUUAGUUAUCAGAAUUGAAUUGAACUUACCAACAAUUCUUAGCAAGGAUUAAGAACAUUUCUAAUGGCGACUAUAAAACUGAUUGAAAAAAGUCUUGAAUUGAGAAUAGAUUUUGAUUCGGGAAGAAAUAAUAAAUUCAGCAAUGGAGAGAAAAUAUCUUGCAAAGAAGAAGCUAAGAAAGAAAAGAGAGAAGCAGGGAAAAAGAAUUAAAAAAUUUCUGUUUGGUUUGGAAAAGGGAACAGUGUUCAAAUGCAAUUAGGAAAAAGAUUAAAUAUUUAGGGGUUUCAAACUUUUAGGGGGUUGGAUGGCAAUUUAUCCUUGCCGCCGAAAAUAAAAGGGUAAUAUGAAGGAGAGUGGCAAGGCUUGAUCUUGAGCAUGCAAGGGAAAAGUGUAAAGACUUAACCAUUGAGUUGUUGCCCAUAAUUUGUUAAGUUUUUAUUCUAAAUUAUAUAUGUUUUAAUGUACUUUCAUCCUAAGUUGCUAAAAAUAAAAAGAAAAUAAAUGAGAAAGGAGUGAAUAGAACCUAAGACCUCUAAAAGGUACACUAAUUACUUAACCAUGAAGCCUAGGUUAAUUUUAUUUAAUUAUUUCAAUUAACCUCCUAUAUUUCAAGGCGUGACAGUUAUAACUAAGAAUUAAAAAUUAAUUUUUAAAUAUUUUUAAAUAUCAAUUUAAUAAGAUGUUAGAAAAAAAAAUUCUUUAUCAGUUCAAAAGUUGUUCAACUCAUAUAUAUAUUAUAGAUGAUUAGAUAUCAAAUUUAAUUAUAAAAAAUUAAAAAGUCCAACCCGCUGGCAUACAUGUAAAUUACCAUCAACCUAAAUGUAACUUUAGUUACCAAAUCAUACCGGUUAAAAAAUUAGAGUAAAUUAUAUUAUUAAUUACUUAAUUAUAGUACAAUUAAUUUCUAGUUACUCAGUUAUAAAAAGUUACAAAAUAAUCAUCUAAUUAUUCAUUUUUUCUUUUUUGUCACCGGCUGGAAAAUGUAAAGAAAGAAAAAACCGAAAAAUCAAAGAUAGUUGAGUAGCCAAAGAACAAAAUUACUAAUAAUUAGGUGACCAGUACUAUAGUUUACCCUAAAAUUUAAAGGUAAAACUUUUUCUAAUGAAUGCAUUUUAUAAUAAUUAAUAAAAUAAGAGUUAUAUUAAGGAUUGAAAAGUUACUCAACUAUCUUGGAUUUUUGGGAGUGUUUUUUUUUUUUAACGUUAACCAUCUGGUGACUGAAAAAGAUAAAAUUAAAUAAUUGGAUAACCAUAUUGUAACCUUUCAUACUUGGAUGACCAAAAAAGAAACCUAACAAUAAUUGAGUGAUUGAAAUUUUUUUUUACUAAUAAUUAUGUGACUAAUAAUAUAAUUUACCUAUAAAUUUAAAGGUAAAACUUUCCCUAUGAAUGCGUUUUAUAUAUAUAAUUGAAAAGUUGUAACAAAUUGGGGUGAUAAUAUAUCCGUGAAGCACUCCCCACCAUGCUAAUAAAAAACUAAAAUAACCAUUAAUUUGCUAAGAAAGGGUUUCUUUGGUAGUAUAAAUAAGGCAUUUCAAUGAUGUAUUAUUCAAGCCAAGGGGCAAUAAGUAAUAAGAAAUAAGCAGCCCCACAACUUCAAAAAGUUUUUUUUUCUUUCUUUUCCUAUCUCUAUUUGAAAUCUGUUUCAAGGGAAGAAGAAGGAAAAUUUUAUGAUUUUUUGAGGGUUUGUUAAGAAUAAAUAGAAAAUAAUGGCGAACAAUGUUGCUGUUAUUGGUAUCUGUUCGGUGUUCUUGGUGGCAGCAGUGGUGGCAGCAGUGGUGGGUGUUACGCAUUUAAAAAACAAUGGUGAUUCGAAAAGCGGUGAAAUAUCGAGUUCGACAAAAGCGGUGCAAACUAUUUGUCAACCCACACAGUUCAAAGAGGCAUGCGAGAAGAGCCUGGAGUCAUCUAAUUCCUCCGACCCUAAGGAGCUGAUAAGGACGAGUUUCCAAGCAGCGAUAGAGGAAAUAAGGAAAGUGUUGGCGAAUUCAGCGACGAUACAAGACUUGAAUAAAGAUGACAACAACAAAGCAGCCCUUAAGGUUUGUAAAGAAGUAUUGGAUUUAUCAAUUGCUGACCUGCAACUUUCAUUUGAUAAGCUGGGGGGAUACGAGAUGAGUAAGAUCGGUGAUUACUUACUAAACCUGAGGGUGUGGUUAAGCGGUGCCUUAACUACCUUACAAACAUGUGUAGACUCAUACGCGGAGGUAAAUAAAGAACAAGCGGAAAAGAUGAAUUCAAUUU
rnacentral:lncRNA from 1 species